GAUGAACGCUGGCGGCGUGCCUAAUACAUGCAAGUCGAGCGAACGGACGAGAAGCUUGCUUCUCUGAUGUUAGCGGCGGACGGGUGAGUAACACGUGGAUAACCUACCUAUAAGACUGGGAUAACUUCGGGAAACCGGAGCUAAUACCGGAUAAUAUUUUGAACCGCAUGGUUCAAAAGUGAAAGACGGUCUUGCUGUCACUUAUAGAUGGGUCCGCGCUGCAUUAGCUAGUUGGUAAGGUAACGGCUUACCAAGGCAACGAUGCAUAGCCGACCUGAGAGGGUGAUCGGCCACACUGGAACUGAGACACGGUCCAGACUCCUACGGGAGGCAGCAGUAGGGAAUCUUCCGCAAUGGGCGAAAGCCUGACGGAGCAACGCCGCGUGAGUGAUGAAGGUCUUCGGAUCGUAAAACUCUGUUAUUAGGGAAGAACAUAUGUGUAAGUAACUGUGCACAUCUUGACGGUACCUAAUCAGAAAGCCACGGCUAACUAUGUG
rnacentral:rRNA from 1 species